GUAGGUGAACCUGCGGAAGGAUCAUUACCGAAGGACCCGGACCCUCUUGUAGUUGAUCAUUGCCCACGAUCGACCCUCUACUGGAAUCUGAUGAAAUGGGGGUGGCGCCACUUGAUGCCCGUUGCCUGAAAUCGGCUCGUGAUGUUGUAAACGUCACCCACCAGUUGGUGGGCUCGUUUCGGGCUGCGUGUCCUUUCAAAGGUUGAAGUCAUCGCCUCGCUGGUCGGCGCCUCUUCUCUUGAUGCCCAUC
rnacentral:misc_RNA from 1 species